GACGAACCGUGCGAACGUUGUUCGGAAUCACUGGGCUUAAAGGGCGCGUAGGCGGACGCGCCAGUCCGGGGUGAAAUCUUUCGGCUUAACCGGAAAAGUGCCUUGGAUACUGCGAGUCUUGAGGAAGGUAGGGGCAUGUGGAACUUCCGGUGGAGCGGUGAAAUGCGUUGAUAUCGGAAGGAACGCCGGUGGCGAAAGCGACGUGCUGGCCCUUCUCUGACGCUGAGGCGCGAAAGCCAGGGGAGCAAACGGG
rnacentral:rRNA from 1 species